rnacentral:rRNA from 1 species
GAUGAACGCUGGCGGCGCAUUUAAGACAUGCAAGUCGAACGAAAACUUUUUACCGAAUUGAUAUGACGAUUUAUCUGAAUUGAAAUUCACCAAAAAGUUUUAGUGGCGGACGGGUGAGUAAUACGUAGAUAAUCUGCCUAUUAGAGGGGAAUAACAGUGAGAAAUCAUUGCUAAUACCGCAUAUGCUAACAGUAUCGCAUGAUACAGUUAGGAAAGGAGCAAUCCGCUAAUAGAUGGGCUUGCGUCUGAUUAGCUAGUUGGUGGGGUAACGGCCUACCAAGGCGACGAUCAGUAGCCGGACUGAGAGGUUGAACGGCCACAUUGGGACUGAGAUACGGCCCAG